rnacentral:rRNA from 1 species
GAUGAACGCUGGCGGCGUGCCUAAUACAUGCAAGUAGAACGCUGAAGGAGGAGCUUGCUCUUCUGGAUGAGUUGCGAACGGGUGAGUAACGCGUAGGUAACCUGCCUGGUAGCGGGGGAUAACUAUUGGAAACGAUAGCUAAUACCGCAUGACAACAGUUAUUGCAUGAUAACUGUUUAAAAGGGGCAACUGCUCCACUACCAGAUGGACCUGCGUUGUAUUAGCUAGUUGGUGAGGUAACGGCUCACCAAGGCGACGGUACAUAGCCGACCUGAGAGGGUGAUCGGCCACACUGGGACUGAGACACGGCCCAGACUCCUACGGGAGGCAGCAGUAGGGAAUCUUCGGCAAUGGACGGAAGUCUGACCGAGCAACGCCGCGUGAGUGAAGAAGGUUUUCGGAUCGUAAAGCUCUGUUGUAAGAGAAGAACGAGUGUGAGAGUGGAAAGUUCACACUGUGACGGUAUCUUACCAGAAAGGGACGGCUAACUACGUG